rnacentral:rRNA from 1 species
CCUACGGGUGGCAGCAGUGAGGAAUAUUGGUCAAUGGCCGGAAGGCUGAACCAGCCAAGUAGCGUGAGGGAAUAAGGCCCUAUGGGUCGUAAACCUCUUUUGUCAGGGAGCAAAGGCGUCCACGUGUGGACGAGAGGAGAGAACCUGAAGAAAAAGCAUCGGCUAACUCCGUGCCAGCAGCGGCGGUAAUACGGAGGAUGCGAGCGUUACCCGGAUUUGUGGGGUUUAAGGGGUGCGUAGGCGGAGUGUCAAGUCAGCGGUAAAAUUUCGGGGCUAAACCCCGUCGUGCCGUUGAAACUGGCGCCCUUGAGUAAAGUAGAAGUAAGCGGAAUGCGUGGUGUAGCGGUGAAAUGCAUAGAUAUCACGCAGAACGCCGAUUGCGAAGGCAGCUUACCGGCGCUCAACUGACGCUGAGGCACGAAAGUGCGGGUAUCGAACAGGAUUAGAUACCCCAGUAGUC